rnacentral:rRNA from 1 species
UACGAGGGCCCCAAGCGUUAUCCGGAUUUAUUGGGCGUAAAGAGUGUGUAGGCGGUUUAUAACAUCUCCUGUUAAAUCUCAAGGCUCAACCUUUAGGCCGCGGGAGAUAUGGAUAAACUAGAGUUCGGAAGAGGCAAGUGGAAUUGCUGGUGUAGGGGUUAAAUCCGUUAAUAUCAGCAGGAACACCAAAAGCGAAGGCAGCUUGCUGGGACGACACUGACGCUGAGACACGAAAGCGUGGGGAGCGAAUGGG